rnacentral:rRNA from 1 species
GACGAACCGUGCGAACGUUGUUCGGAAUCACUGGGCUUAAAGGGCGCGUAGGCGGGCUGUCAAGUCUGGGGUGAAAUGCCGCGGCUCAACCGUGGAACUGCCUUAGAUACUGACGGCCUCGAGGAAGGUAGGGGCAUGCGGAACUGUAGGUGGAGCGGUGAAAUGCGUUGAUAUCCGGAGGAACACCGGUGGCGAAGGCGGCUUCCUGGACCGACACUGACGCUGAGGCGCGAAAGCUAGGGGAGCAAACGGG